rnacentral:rRNA from 2 species
UACGGAGGGUGCAAGCGUUAUCCGGAUUUACUGGGUUUAAAGGGUGUGUAGGCGGACUUUUAAGUCAGGGGUGAAAUCCCGAGGCUCAACCUCGGAACUGCCUUUGAUACUAUUGGUCUUGAAUGUUGUUGAGGUGGGCGGAACGGGUCAUGUAGCGGUGAAAUGCAUAGAUAUGACCCGGAACACCGAUUGCGAAGGCAGCCCGCUAAGCAACUAUUGACGCUGAGGCACGAAAGCGUGGGGAUCAAACAGG